rnacentral:rRNA from 1 species
UCCUACGGGUGGCUGCAGUGGGGAAUCUUGCGCAAUGGGCGAAAGCCUGACGCAGCGACGCCGCGUGGGGGAAGAAGGCCUUCGGGUUGUAAACCUCUUUCAGGUGGGACGAAGCCACUCGGGUGAACAGCCCAGAGGGUGACGGUACCACCAGAAGAAGCCCCGGCUAACUACGUGCCAGCAGCCGCGGUAAUACGUAGGGGGCAAGCGUUGUCCGGAUUUAUUGGGCGUAAAGAGCGUGUAGGCGGCCAGGUAGGUCGGUUGUGAAAACUGGAGGCUCAACCUUCAGACGUCGACCGAAACCAUCUGGCUAGAGUCCGGAAGAGGAGAAUGGAAUUCCUGGUGUAGCGGUGAAAUGCGCAGAUAUCAGGAAGAACACCCGUGGCGAAAGCGGUUCUCUGGGACGGUACUGACGCUGAGACGCGAAAGCGUGGGGAGCGAACAGGAUUAGAUACCCUGGUAGUCCC